rnacentral:rRNA from 1 species
GUUAAAACUCAAAUGAAUUGACGGGGGCCCGCACAAGCGGUGGAGCAUGUGGUUUAAUUCGAUGCAACGCGAAGAACCUUACCUGGUCUUGACAUCCACAGAACUUUCCAGAGAUGGACUGGUGCCUUCGGGAACCGUGAGACAGGUGCUGCAUGGCUGUCGUCAGCUCGUGUUGUGAAAUGUUGGGUUAAGUCCCGCAACGAGCGCAACCCUUAUCCUUUGUUGCCAGCGGUUAGGCCGGGAACUCAAAGGAGACUGCCAGUGAUAAACUGGAGGAAGGUGGGGAUGACGUCAAGUCAUCAUGGCCCUUACGACCAGGGCUACACACGUGCUACAAUGGCGCAUACAAAGAGAAGCGACCUCGCGAGAGCAAGCGGACCUCAUAAAGUGCGUCGUAGUCCGGAUUGGAGUCUGCAACUCGACUCCAUGAAGUCGGAAUCGCUAGUAAUCGUGGAUCAGAAUGCCACGGUGAAUACGUUCCCGGGCCUUGUACACACCGCCCGUCACACCAUGGGAGUGGGUUGCAAAAGAAGUAGGUAGCUUAACCUUCGGGAGGGCGCUUACCACUUUGUGAUUCAUGACUGGGGUGAAGUCGUAACAAGGUAACCGUAGGGGAACCUGCGGUUGGAUCACCUCCUUA